UACAGAGGGGGCAAGCGUUGUUCGGAAUUACUGGGCGUAAAGGGCGCGUAGGCGGCCCGCUAAGUCGAACGUGAAAUCCCCAGGCUCAACCUGGGAACUGCGUCCGAUACUGGCAGGCUUGAAUCCGGGAGAGGGAUGUGGAAUUCCAGGUGUAGCGGUGAAAUGCGUAGAUAUCUGGAGGAACACCGGUGGCGAAGGCGGGUCUCUGGGCCGAUACUGACGCUGAGGAGCGAAAGCGUGGGGAGCGAACAGG
rnacentral:rRNA from 1 species